GACGAACGCUGGCGGCGUGCUUAACACAUGCAAGUCGAACGGAAAGGCCCUGCUUUUGUGGGGUGCUCGAGUGGCGAACGGGUGAGUAACACGUGAGUAACCUGCCCUUGACUUUGGGAUAACUUCAGGAAACUGGGGCUAAUACCGGAUAGGAGCUCCUGCUGCAUGGUGGGGGUUGGAAAGUUUCGGCGGUUGGGGAUGGACUCGCGGCUUAUCAGCUUGUUGGUGGGGUAGUGGCUUACCAAGGCUUUGACGGGUAGCCGGCCUGAGAGGGUGACCGGCCACAUUGGGACUGAGAUACGGCCCAGACUCCUACGGGAGGCAGCAGUGGGGAAUAUUGCACAAUGGGCGGAAGCCUGAUGCAGCAACGCCGCGUGCGGGAUGACGGCCUUCGGGUUGUAACCCGCUUUCGCCUGUGACGAAGCGUGAGUGACGGUAAUGGGUAGAGAAGCACCGGCUAACUACGUG
rnacentral:rRNA from 1 species